GGUUGUUAAUGUUGGGUGGAAUCGAGAUAAAGACGUUGAGAUCAAUCAACGUAUAUCUGGCUCGCGGAAGAACUGAAGCGAUGGAGUAGAAGUAAGUAUACGAAAUCCAAAAUGGAGUUGAAAGAGUGCACAGAGAGAAUGGAAAGGUAUCGCAGUUGCAAUAAUUCUUCUAUUGCUGAUAGAUUUUUCGAGGCGCAUCGUCAAUAUAACAAAAUCAUCACUCAGGAAGAGACUUAUUGGAAACAAGCUAAGAUGCAUUGACUUCGUGAUGGUGAUCUGAACACUAAGUUUUUUCAUAUGUCAGCUACAACAAGAAGGAAA
rnacentral:lncRNA from 1 species